rnacentral:rRNA from 1 species
UACGGGGGGGGGCAAGCGUUGUUCGGAAUUACUGGGCGUAAAGGGCUUGUAGGUGGCCAACUAAGUCAGACGUGAAAUCCCUCGGCUUAACCGGGGAACUGCGUCUGAAACUGGAUGGCUGGAGUGUGGGAGAGGGAUGCGGAAUUCCAGGUGUAGCGGUGAAAUGCGUAGAUAUCUGGAGGAACACCGGUGGCGAAGGCGGCAUCCUGGACCAUUACUGACACUGAAAAGCGAAAGCCAGGGGAGCAAACGGG